GACGAACGCUGGCGGCGUGCUUAACACAUGCAAGUCGAACGGAAAGGCCCUGCUUUUGUGGGGUGCUCGAGUGGCGAACGGGUGAGUAACACGUGAGUAACCUGCCCUUGACUUUGGGAUAACUUCAGGAAACUGGGGCUAAUACCGGAUAGGAGCUCCUGCUGCAUGGUGGGGGUUGGAAAGUUUCGGCGGUUGGGGAUGGACUCGCGGCUUAUCAGCUUGUUGGUGGGGUAGUGGCUUACCAAGGCUUUGACAGGUAGCCGGCCUGAGAGGGUGACCAGCCACAUUGGGACUGAGAUACGGCCCAGACUCCUACGGGAGGCAGCAGUGGGGAAUAUUGCACAAUGGGCGGAAGCCUGAUGCAGCAACGCCGCGUGCGGGAUGACGGCCUUCGGGUUGUAAACCGCUUUCGCCUGUGACGAAGCGUGAGUGACGGUAAUGGGUAAAGAAGCACCGGCUAACUACGUG
rnacentral:rRNA from 1 species